rnacentral:rRNA from 1 species
AGAGUUUGAUCAUGGCUCAGAUUGAACGCUGGCGGCAGGCCUAACACAUGCAAGUCGAACGGUAACAGGAAGAAGCUUGCUUCUUUGCUGACGAGUGGCGGACGGGUGAGUAAUGUCUGGGAAACUGCCUGAUGGAGGGGGAUAACUACUGGAAACGGUAGCUAAUACCGCAUAACGUCGCAAGACCAAAGAGGGGGACCUUCGGGCCUCUUGCCAUCGGAUGUGCCCAGAUGGGAUUAGCUAGUAGGUGGGGUAACGGCUCACCUAGGCGACGAUCCCUAGCUGGUCUGAGAGGAUGACCAGCCACACUGGAACUGAGACACGGUCCAGACUCCUACGGGAGGCAGCAGUGGGGAAUAUUGCACAAUGGGCGCAAGCCUGAUGCAGCCAUGCUGCGUGUAUGAAGAAGGCCUUCGGGUUGUAAAGUACUUUCAGCGGGGAGGAAGGGAGUAAAGUUAAUACCUUUGCUCAUUGACGUUACCCGCAGAAGAAGCACCGCGG